ensembl:lncRNA
CUUGAGCAUGUCAGUCUCUUCCUAAGUCCCACUGAACCUAAAGGAUUAUUGCAACAAAAUUUGAGAGUUGAACAGCUCUGAGAUAAGUUCCAUAAAUUUUUAUGAAAAUUGGACAUUGAGUAAUGGAGAAGGAUGUGAUUAGCAUUUUCAGUUACAGAAAGGCAUACGGAGCUGGGGAUAUUGAGGUCAGGUAGAAGGAAUAGGGGAAGGUCUAGAAGAAGCCAGGAGGAAAGAGUUGUCAGACAGGGAGAGGCAGGGAGGUGGAUCCUUACAUCAGCAGGGCAAGAGAAGGACUGUGUGUAUGCUGGAAACAAAUUCACAGGAAAGCAGGCUUCAUGAGUCCACUGGCUUAUGGAUCCUACCAGAACUCUGCAAAACCUAUUUGCUAAAAUUACGCCAAGAGAAAUCACUCAUGAGCCUCGCCAGCCUGCACGCCUCCCAAGCUGCUCUCCCUCCUGCUGCCUCUGCUCAUGCCAGGUGACAGCCCAGCUCAGGAAGAUUUUUAGCCUUGGCUUGCAAUUAGGAGAAUGGCAAUAGUGAAAAACAGCGAAGAAAUGUUUCCACAAAUGAACUUGAAAGUGCAGUAUGAGACCAUUUAUGAUCCUUCAUCCCUGAACUACGACACUUGAACUUGGGUCUGCAAAGGCUGUGGCUUGUCCUUGCUGCCCGAGGUGGCUCAGGCAACAUCUGCCAGUGGAGAAAUGGAAGAUACUACCUGCUUUUUCUCUCUGCCUUUCUCUUGCUGAAGCCCAGUGGCAUUUUAUGAAGAACAGGAGGGUUUCUUCACUCAAGGACAGAGUGGGAGAAAGUGACAAGCUGUGCUUUCAACAGAUGAAGGAAUUAGAAAUGCAUCUGAAGCUGAACUUCCACAGGCAACAGACAUGCUCGGGAUUCUUGGCUCUGACCUCUUUAUGCUUCCUUCAUCCCCAGGAGAAGGUGGAUGGGAAGGGAAGGCUGCCCUCUCUUUUCAGUGGGAACACAAAGUGCUGAAGCAUUCACAGUAACGCUAAAGAGAAGACAAGGAGAAGUCUCCGUUUUCCUUGUUAGAAGUUGGAAUUAAAUUAAUCUUGGACUACAGACUGAAUAGAGAAAAUUCUUGCAAAUAUAAUAGAUGUAAUUCAUGGUCAGAGCAGUGGUUUCUAUUAUCCCAUGUCUGUCUCCAGCAGUGGCAAUAGGAUGUAUAGUUUCAGGGUAACACAAAGCCCUUGGAUUCCACAACCACCGCUUUAAGGACGCAAGAGAGUAUAUCCCUUAGUAAAUAUUUUGGUCCAUUUGAUGGACCUGCUAUAUAAAAAAUUCUCUAAAUCCUGAAAUCUCUGUCUCUACAACCAUCUGUGGCAACAAGUGCCAGAAGUUUAUAACCGUUGUGUAACAAAAUACUUUUAAAAUCUGUUCUAAACUUCUGCUAUUAGUUUCAUCCUAUGCCUUUGCAGUUUUUAGCAUAAGAGUUUUCUGUUGACCUUAUCUACCACAUUCAUAAUUUUAUGGAGUGCUGAGCAAGGGAAAAUAACACAAAAUAAUUUUUUUAAGAAAUGCCCCAGGUUGCUCUUCAGAUAUAGAUCUCAAAUAUAAAUUAAUAGCUUGGGUGAAGAAUUAUGUCAUUUGGGUAAUAAGUGCAACUCAAUGUAAUGAACCUGUGUAUUAAGCUGUACGUUAAACUUGGAGCUACUUUUUCAUCAAAAUAGAACUAUAGGCAGUGAUAACCUUGUACAGUGCAUCAUCUGCUCUGGUGUUAAAUAACCAAAAACACUGAGAAGCAGAACCUCAAUUGUUUUAAACUGUUGUAACUUCAUUGCCUUUGCUAGACUAAUGGCAAUUUCCAAUGCAGGUUUGUUUGGGGGAAAAAGUGGAAAAAAGUUUAAGGCACAAAUCCCACCAUGGUCCUGUGAAUCUCAGUGUUUUCUCACAGACUCAGGAUUUUUCUAAUUUCUUUAAAUAUGAUUAGAAUAGAAUACGAUAAUAUUGCUUCACCCUCUUUAAAAUGAACAAUUUUUUAUUGUGUGUGACUGUAUAAAAGCGUUAAGUUCUCUGUAUUUCUCAUAAGAAAUUCCUGUAGAUGCAGAGUAUCUGUGGAUUUUGAUUUGCUUAUAGGUCCUUAUUUCUUUGGAUGAUCCUAUGCUUUCACUGUUCUCCUCUCUGACUUAACAACAGGCUUAUGUGUCUCUCCCUAGCAUUUGUCUCUGUUGUGCAGGACAGGUGGGAGUCAAGAGUUGGGGUAGAAAGUCUGAAUGCCAAAUUUAGGGCCUCUGUUUAUAUGUUGACCUGAGAUUUGUUAUUCCAUAUAAUGUACACUGGUAAUUGGCAUGGUGUUUAUUCUUCAUUUUUAAAUUCCAAGAAUCAACCAGUGCAGCCACACAUCUUACACCAUCUUAUUGCAUAAACAGGGGGAAGAGUCCCUUAGUAUUCUAAAUAAGAAAGCUGAUGGAUCUGUAUUAAUUUACAGAAGUUGAGAAUCUCUCUUUGAUGAUCAUAUUAUGGCAAAAAGUCUUCCUAAAGAUACAAUCCAAUAACUUUGGUAAAUUGCAGCAGGUAUUUACCUUAAUCUGCUGAAAGCAACAACACUACAGCAAAGCACCUCUACCCUGUAGAACUCUACUUUUCUAGAAAACAGCCCAAGAGUUAUAAAAAUUUGUUCAGGGUAAAAUCAUCAACAUUUUGCUGUCCAAAAUACUCUGGUAAUUCAUGUCUACUUUUGCAGAAAAGACAGUAUUAAAAAAAUGGUAUGAAAUGUUAGCCUUUAAAAACAGUGAAAUAAUUUGCAUGAAUGUGUAAAAUAAAUAACUUCAAGGAAAGCAGAAGAGUUGCAGGAGGUAUGCACUACAAUGAACAUACAACAACAACCUCCCAAAUUUGAUUACAUGCACAAAUUAAAUGACAAAACACGUUACAAUAGUUGCUACCUGCAUCAUUUGAAGGACAUACUUUCCUACUGCUAGAAGCUCUAGGAAGUAUUUUAUGGAACACUGUCCCCAUUUAAAACAGUGUAGGGCAGACUGAAAAAUAUCCUGUCCAGGAGGAAAAUGAGGAGAUGGAAUUAUCAGAAGUAAUAUUUGACUGAGAAUUGGGCUCAAUGUUUCAAUUUUAACUAAUAGCUCUGUAAAAUCUGUGGUGGUCUCACUCUUUUAGGGCUAGACAUUUUCAAUUAAAGGGAAGAAAAUCUUGAAAAUUUCUUUAAUUGCCUUUUGUGAAAAAAACUGGCAUCAUUCAUGAAUAUAAUUUGCCAAAUGUAGACAGAAAAUUUGGUUUGUGUGUAAAUUGAGAUGUGUGUUCAGUAACCCUACUGCAUUGGUUCUUCCCUUAAGAGGAGCUCAUUAUCUUCUCAGAUUGUGACACUAAUGGUUUAAUGCCUCACAGUUUCUUGGAAGUUUCCUAUGUAUGUGAUGAGCCUAGUUUGUCUCUAUUUGGGAUGCAAAAUCUGAUAGGAUCACAGCACACAGAAGAAUUUACUUCUCUUAAGAAUACAUACUGGUUACCUUCUUCACCUGUCAGGGUGUUGCAAAGGGGCAGUCUGCCAACAUUUGACAUAUUCCAGAUGGAUAUAGAGAACGGCAGUGCGGGUCAGUGGUGCCUUGUUCUGUGGUUAGACCUCAACACAGGAGGAUAGGAAACAAUGGGGAAAGAAGUAGAAUAUUUCAGGCAAAGAGUCCUAGUUUCGGAAAGGGCCACAGGGUUUUUUGUACAUUUACAAGCA